rnacentral:rRNA from 1 species
AGUCAAUCUACCCUAUGGACGGGGAUAACCUCGGGAAACUGAGGAUAAAACCCGAUAGAUCAUAAUGCCUGGAACGGUUUAUGGUCCAAAUGAUUCGUCGCCGUAGGAUGGGACUGCGGCCUAUCAGCUUGUUGGUGAGGUAAUGGCCCACCAAGGCUAUUACAGGUACGGGCUCUGAGAGGAGAAGCCCGGAGAUGGGUACUGAGACACGGACCCAGGCCCUAUGGGGCGCAGCAGGCGAGAAACCUUUGCAAUGUGCGCAAGCACGACAAGGUUAAUCCGAGUGUUUCCUGCUAAAGGAAUCUUUUGUUAGUUCUAAAACCACUAAUGAAUAAGGGGUGGGCAAGUUCUGGUGUCAGCCGCCGCGGUAAAACCAGCACCUCAAGUGGUCAGGAGGAUUAUUGGGCCUAAAGCAUCCGUAGCCUGUUCUAUAAGUUUCCGGUUAAAUCCAUUAGCUCAACUAAUGGGCUGCCGAAAAUACUGUGGAACUAGGGAGUGGGAGAGGUAGACGGUACUCGGUAGGAAGGGGUAAAAUCCUUUGAUCUAUUGAUGACCACCUGUGGCGAAGGCGGUCUACCAGAACACGUUCGACGGUGAGGGAUGAAAGCUGGGGGAGCAAACCGGAUUAGAUACCCGGGUAGUCCCAGCUGUAAACGAUGCAGACUCGGUGAUGCGCUGGCUUGUGGCCAGUGCAGUGCC